GAAAUGCGAUAAGUAAUGUGAAUUGCAGAAUUCCGUGAAUCAUCGAAUCUUUGAACGCACAUUGCGCCCUCUGGUAUUCCGGGGGCAUGCCUGUCCGAGCGUCAUUGCGAACCCCUCAAGCACGGCUUGUGUGAUGGGCCCUCCCGCGGCUUGGUCGUCAAGACGGGCCCGGAAAGCAGUGGCGGCUUCGCGGUUAUCCGAUCAGCCAGAGCGUAUGGGGACUUUCUCUCUGUCACACGCCCGCGGCGCGGACCGACGCCUGUCGACUUUUAUUCAUCUUUUUCUCGGUUGACCUCGGAUCAGGUAGGGAUACCCGCUGAACUUAAGC
rnacentral:misc_RNA from 1 species